UUAUGAGAGUUUGAUCCUGGCUCAGGACGAACGCUGGCGGCGUGCCUAAUACAUGCAAGUCGAACGCUUUUUCUUUCACCGGAGCUUGCUCCACCGAAAGAAAAAGAGUGGCGAACGGGUGAGUAACACGUGGGUAACCUGCCCAUCAGAAGGGGAUAACACUUGGAAACAGGUGCUAAUACCGUAUAACACUAUUUUCCGCAUGGAAGAAAGUUGAAAGGCGCUUUUGCGUCACUGAUGGAUGGACCCGCGGUGCAUUAGCUAGUUGGUGAGGUAACGGCUCACCAAGGCAACGAUGCAUAGCCGACCUGAGAGGGUGAUCGGCCACACUGGGACUGAGACACGGCCCAGACUCCUACGGGAGGCAGCAGUAGGGAAUCUUCGGCAAUGGACGAAAGUCUGACCGAGCAACGCCGCGUGAGUGAAGAAGGUUUUCGGAUCGUAAAACUCUGUUGUUAGAGAAGAACAAGGAUGAGAGUAAAA
rnacentral:rRNA from 1 species